rnacentral:rRNA from 1 species
CAGGCUUAACACAUGCAAGUCGAGGGGCAUCAUGAAUCUACUUCGGUAGAUUUGAUGGCGACCGGCGCACGGGUGCGUAACGCGUAUCCAACCUUCCCGUUACUCCGGGAUAGCCUUCCGAAAGGGAGAUUAAUACCGGAUGGUGUUUGAAGUCCGCAUGAAAUUCAAACUAAAGAUUUAUCGGUAACGGAUGGGGAUGCGUACCAUUAGAUAGUAGGCGGGGUAACGGCCCACCUAGUCUACGAUGGUUAGGGGUUCUGAGAGGAAGGUCCCCCACACUGGUACUGAGACACGGACCAAACUCCUACGGGAGGCAGCAGUGAGGAAUAUUGGUCAAUGGACGCAAGUCUGAACCAGCCAUGCCGCGUGCAGGAAGACGGCUCUAUGAGUUGUAAACUGCUUUUGUAUGAGGGUAAAAUUAGAUACGUGUAUCUAACUGCAAGUAUCAUACGAAUAAGGAUCGGCUAAUUCCGUGCCAGCAGCCGCGGUAAUACGGAGGAUCCAAGCGUUAUCCGGAUUUAUUGGGUUUAAAGGGUGCGUAGGCGGUUUGGUAAGUUAGAGGUGAAAAUUUCAGGGCUCAACCUUGACAUUGCCUCUGAUACUGCCGAGCUAGAGAGUAGUUGCUGUGGGCGGAAUGUAUGGUGUAGCGGUGAAAUGCUUAGAGAUCAUACAGAACACCGAUUGCGAAGGCAGCUCACAAAACUAUAUCUGACGUUGAGGCACGAAAGCGUGGGUAGCAAACAGGAUUAGAUACCCUGGUAGUCCACGCAGUAAACGAUGAUAGCUCGUUGUCGGCGAUACACAGUCGGUGACUUAGAGAAAUCGAUAAGCUAUCCACCUGGGGAGUACGUUCGCAAGAAUGAAACUCAAAGGAAUUGACGGGGGCCCGCACAAGCGGAGGAACAUGUGGUUUAAUUCGAUGAUACGCGAGGAACCUUACCCGGGCUUGAAAGUUAGUGACGGACUUGGAAACAGGUCUUCCCUUCGGGGCACGAAACUAGGUGCUGCAUGGUUGUCGUCAGCUCGUGCCGUGAGGUGUCGGGUUAAGUCCCAUAACGAGCGCAACCCCUGCUGAUAGUUGCCAUCAGGUUAAGCUGGGCACUCUAUCGGGACUGCCUCUGUAAGGAGGAGGAGGGUGGGGAUGACGUCAAAUCAGCACGGCCCUUACGUCCGGGGCGACACACGUGUUACAAUGGUAGGUACAGAGGGCAGCCACCCAGCGAUGGGGAGCAAAUAUCAAAAGCCUAUCUCAGUUCGGAUUGGAGGCUGAAACUCGCCUCCAUGAAGUUGGAUUCGCUAGUAAUCGCGCAUCAGCCAUGGCGCGGUGAAUACGUUUCCGGGC